AUUGAACGCUGGCGGCAGGCCUAACACAUGCAAGUCGAACGAGUGGCGGACGGGUGAGUAAUGUAUGGGAAACUGCCCGAUGGAGGGGGAUAACUACUGGAAACGGUGGCUAAUACCGCAUACUAUCGGAUGAACCCAGAUGGGAUUAGCUAGUUGGGGGGGUAACGGCUCACCUAGGCGACGAUCCCUAGCUGGUCUGAGAGGAUGACCACCCACACUGGAACUGAGACACGGCCCAGACUCCUACGUGAGGCAGCAGUGGGGAAUAUUGCACAAUGGGCGCAAGCCUGAUGCAGCCAGGCCGCGUGGAUGAAGAAGGCCUUAGGGUUGUAAAGUACUUUCAGCGGGGAGGCGUUACCCGCAGAAGAAGCACCGGCUAACUCCGUGCCAGCAGCCGCGGUAAUUC
rnacentral:rRNA from 1 species